rnacentral:lncRNA from 1 species
UUAUCCCCAGCUGGAAACAACCCAAACGUUCCGCUUCGGGGCUUGAGAGGGCGCCUGGACACCAAGUGUUCAAAUGGAUAAGUGUGUGGUGUCUCCACGCAGAGGAAAACCCCACUGACACACAGGGAAGGAUGGAGACACAGUCCAGCAAGGAUUCAAGACUGCAUGCUGCCCAGGCCGGAGUCCAUUUUGACUUCUUCCA